GUUUUUCCACACCAUUUAUUGAAGAGACUAUCUUUUCUUUAUUGAGUAUUCUUGGCUCCAUUGUCAAAUAUAAGUUGACUGUAUAUGGCAGUGGUGAUUUGUUGGCAC